GAACAUGUGGUUUACGUGGCUCUCACCACUAUUCCCUCUUCCAGAUAUAUCUCGCCGAAUAACAAGCAACAAGCAACGGAAAAUCACGCACGAUUAGGAAAAAAAUCUGUUUUCUCAGCCUAUAAAUAGAUGGCUUUAGUUAGAUUAUUUGGACAGGCUUCAUUAUUAGAAUUUAAGAGCAGAUAGAAAAUAUUUUACUUUCCUAUUUUCCAUUCAGUUUAGCAUUCAAGUUUGUUCCGGUGACAUUGUUUUCAAUUUCAGUUUAUUAAGGUUCUAAUCUCUUGUUCUAUUUAUUUUAUUUGAUUUAUUUGUUACAAUUUGUUCACUGUUCUUUUAAUUCAGUCACUGUUUGUUUAAGUUUUACAUCUUUCAUUACCCAUCGUUGCUUUAUUUAUGUUAUGUUUAUUUAUUUAAUUAUUAUGUUGUUACCAGCAACUAUGUCUAGCUAAUUUAUUGAAACUGGGA
rnacentral:lncRNA from 1 species